rnacentral:rRNA from 1 species
UCUGGCGGCUGUAGCGCGGUGGUCCCACCUGACCCCAUGCCGAACUCAGAAGUGAAACGCCGUAGCGCCGAUGGUAGUAUGGGGCCUCCCCAUGCGAGAGUAGGGAACUGCCAGAC